rnacentral:rRNA from 1 species
UCAGGAUGAACGCUAGCUACAGGCUUAACACAUGCAAGUCGAGGGGCAGCAUUGGAGUAGCAAUACUCAGAUGGCGACCGGCGCACGGGUGAGUAACACGUAUCCAACCUGCCGCUUACUCGGGGAUAGCCUUCCGAAAGAAAGAUUAAUACCCGAUGGUAUAAAGAGUUCGCAUGUUCUCUUUAUUAAAGAAUUUCGGUAAGCGAUGGGGAUGCGUUCCAUUAGAUAGUUGGCGGGGUAACGGCCCACCAAGUCUACGAUGGAUAGGGGUUCUGAGAGGAAGGUCCCCCACAUUGGAACUGAGACACGGUCCAAACUCCUACGGGAGGCAGCAGUGAGGAAUAUUGGUCAAUGGACGAGAGUCUGAACCAGCCAAGUAGCGUGAAGGAUGACUGCCCUAUGGGUUGUAAACUUCUUUUAUAAGGGAAUAAAGUGAGGGACGUGUCCCUUUUUGUAUGUACCUUAUGAAUAAGGAUCGGCUAACUCCGUGCCAGCAGCAGC